rnacentral:lncRNA from 1 species
AUGAUUGCAGGGGGAGGGGCAGCAGGGGGCGAGGUCAGGGGCCCAGAGGCCAUAAGUGGCUACUGCCAUGCUGCCGUGAGAGCAGCCAGUGGCCGGGCCAGGCCUGGCAGCAGAGGGGCUGCGGAAGGGGCAAUUCCAGUGUCAGUAAGAGGCAGAGUCCAGAGAACAACCCCCCACGUGCCCCUCCCUCGUCCACCUCCAAAGCUUCCUGCUCUCGGCCAGCUGUGGGCUGUAGGAGGAAAGGACCGCCUGGGCCAGCUCACGGGCAGUGUGGCUGAUGGCAGGGCCUGCUGUGGGCCGUUCCAGGAGCUGCUGCGUUUUGGCAGAGGCUCUUUCCCUGCUCUGAUGGAGUCUUUUGGCCUGGAGGCACCAGUGGGAGAUGCUCACUGCGUCUUGAGAUUGAAGCUUAACCUCCCUGAGGCCCUUCCCACCGGCCAGCCCUGCCUCCCAGACAGAGAGCCCCCGCCUGCCCGGCAAAGCCCAGGAGACAGUGGCCUGGCUCCAUCUGUCUCCCGCCAGGCCCUCUGGGGGUGGGACCCGGCUCCCCUGGGCCCAGAGCAGCUGGUUGAGCAUCAGGGCAGUACCAGGGGUCGGCAGGCCCAGGACACCUGUCUAUGGGACAGGCUCCCCACCUCCCUGUGCACGGUGCCACCUGCAGGGCACGGAAGCCCCCUCCCUCUCACGGUCCCUGUGCUGCCUUCUAGGAGCCACAGGCUGGACCUCAUGGUGCCCAGGUUCAAGUCAGGCAGGCGGGUGCUUUGGGGAAGGAGUGGGCAUUGGAGGUUGCUGGGCCUCCUUCCUCCUGGGGUCUCCCCUUGCAGAGAUUUUGGCAGCCCUGGACCCCCCACCCAGUACCCAGUGGGGGCCAGGGCUCCUGCCUCUACUCUUGCUGGACAAGGCUGCCCCGCCUCUUCCAGGAAGGCCUCCAUUAUUAUUCUGGGGCCCACUGGGCCGCAACACCCCUCAGUCUCCCAGUUCCACCUGCCCCUGGCCUGCGGGGCUCCCUCUCCAAGCUCCCCAGCACCAGGGGCUCUCUCAGGCACGCUCUGCGGGGGAGGGGGGGUGCUCAGCUCGUGCUGGACAAGGCAGGGACAGGGUAUGGACCAUUCAGCCUGGCCAGGGGGCUUCAGGACGAGGCUGCCCAGGGUUUGGACAGAGCCAGCUGAGCUCAGGAGUGAGUGGUGCUUCCGCCCGUGUUCUGCGGUGCUAAAUAUAGCGGCCUGGGAGGGGAGUUUCCGGUUACAGCCCCCCCCAGUGCCGGGAAAUCGAUGCCAGCUCCAUUAG